rnacentral:lncRNA from 1 species
UCUUAAAGGACCCAUGUGCAAAUUCACCCGUUUUGGAAAACAACCUGAAAUCACCAUAAAGAAAGAUGCACUGUCCUUUCUAGAAAAGAGACUCACCUGAUAGGCUCUGGGCACAUCUCAGUGAGAGGGGAGACCUCUCCAUGGACUGAGACAUUGACAACAACCAUUAUUGUGACCUCAUACAGGUGUGCUGACACAGACGCUGGUAGAUGCCAUUGGAGUCCUUCCCCUGGCAUGUUAGCCCAGGAUCUGCCCCGCCCACGACAGUGCUGAUUAAAACCAGCUCAGCCAGGGUGGGCAGCCCACCCUAGGGACUGGCUCCACCAACUGAAGGCCUCGGUCAACUUGUGUGCCUGCAUGGACAGAGUGCCAGGAUCCUCUGCAGGCAGCUACAACUAAUUGGACAUUCAACAGUCAAAAAAGGAUAUCCACUUAGCACCACAGGACACCUGAAUGACCUGUGCUGCUAUACAUCAGAAGGUGGACAGACUUCCCCCCAGGAGGAGGUGGAGAUAGGUGAAAAGUCUCUGACCCCCGGACAGCCUACUACCUGCAAGUGACUCUCUACUGGCUGACUCGCUCAUAGCAUCACCACAGCACUGAGGGCAGGCGUGUGCAUGCACUGGUGGCAUGACUGUGGAAACAGCUGAUGGGAGACCCCACAGGGCCACUGCAAUCAUGAGGAGGGGCCCAGGCUCGGUCAGGAAGAGCUGACAGCAAUCCCAGUCAGUGCAGAUUACACAUCUGCUGCCCCCUCCCCCACCAGUAAAAGCAAGUGGAA